rnacentral:lncRNA from 1 species
GAGAAAAUAAAAAUGUUCUAGAAUUCCCAUUUUGUCGCAACUUUGCAGAUGAAGAAGGAGGAAGAGUGGCUGAGCUUCCAGUUCUCACAGCUGGCUCUCCUUUUCCAGCAGUCAAAAGUUAUGUUCUCUGUAUCACUACGGGAGCAUCACCUGGGUCAGGAACAGACGCAGAUGUGUAUGUCAUGCUCCAAGGCCUUUUGGGAGAUACUGGCAGAAGAAAGUUAAUCAGAAAAAGACAUGAUAAUUUCACUAAAGGAAAGGUGGAUGUUUUUCAAGUGGAAGCAGUAGAUGUUGGGACUCUGCAAGGGAUGGUGGUUGAAAAAGGGAAAGGCUCUGACUGGCUUCUGGAGAAGAUUAUUGUGAAAGAGUCAGCAGCUUCAGGAACAGAAACAUUGUUUAUGGCUCAAACAUGGCUAAAAGACAGACAUGAUGGAAAAAGGUUUGCCUCAGUAACGCUGAAUGCCACAGAAAUUGAGGAGAGGAGGAGCACUUCUGCCUGGCCUUUAGGAAAAGAGCAAAUGAAUUCAGAAGGCAGAUGGAGGAUUUAUUUCACAAAACAUCAAGAAGA